rnacentral:pre_miRNA from 1 species
UUAACGAAAUUUGUAUGCAGUUGGAACAGCGCCACUAGCGGCAAACGUAAGCAAACGUUCGAACUCCAUACAAAUUUGAGUUA